CUGGAGGGCAGCGAACCAUCCUGCCCAGAACCUUAUCCUCACAGUCCAUUUUGACGCAGCACCAGUUGUUGUGAAGACAGUUCUUGGCUGGGCACGAUGGCUCACACCUGUAAUCCCAGCACUUUGGGAGGCCGAGGCGGGCGGAUCACAAGGUCAGGAGAUCAAGACCAUCCUGGCUAGCAAGGUGUCCGCUCUGCUCCUGAUCCAGCGAGGCAUCCAUUGCCACUCCCGAUCGGGCUAAAGGCUUGCCAUUGUUCCUGCACAGCUAAGCGCCUGGGUUCAUCCUAAUCAAGCUGAACACUAGUCACUGGGUUCCACGGUUCUCUUCCGUGACCCACAGCUUCUAAUAGAGCUAUAACACUCACCGCAUGGCUCAAGAUUCCAUUCCUUGGAAUCCGUGAGGCCAAGAGCCCCAGGUCAGAGAACAGGAGGCUUGCCACCAUCUUGGAAGUGGUCUGCCAAAAUUAUGGAAGUGGCCCGCCACCAUCUUGGGCGCUCUGGGAGCAAAGACCGCCCCAUGGUAACAGCACCUUAACUGUGUGUCCCCAAGGACCUACAGAUCACAGGGCAACAGGGGCUGUGAGGGAGUUGUCUGGAUUUCCCAAGGUGGAGGAGGCGAAAGAGGAGAUGGAUCCCAAGCUCCUGCACCAGCACCAGCGAGAGACAAAGGCCCCGCCAAACGCCGGAAGCCACGCCCUCCUCUCUUCUCAAACUGUGCGCCCGAUUGGGUGGUUCCCACACCAGCGCCACUGAUUGAAUAAAACGCCAGGACCCACCCAUCCGCACCCCACCCCGGCCCCUGCCCCACUCACCCUGAGCGUUAGUGUAUUUUUGUUUGUUUCUUUGUUUUACUUUAAGUUUUGGGAUACAUGUGCAGAACGUGCAGGUUUGUUACAGAGGUUUACAUGUGCCAUGGUGGUUUUCUGCACCUGUCAACCUGCCGUUUAGGUUUUAAGCCCCACAUGCAUUAGAUAUUUGUCCUAAUGCUCUCCCUCCCCUUGACCCCAACCCCCUAACAGGCCCCAGCAUGUGAUGUUUCCUUCCGGUGUACAUCUGUUCUCAUUGUUCAACUCCCACAUAUGAGUGAGAACAUAUGGUGUUUGGUUUCCUGUUCCCUGUGUUAGUUUGCUGAGGAUAAUGGUUUCCAGCUUCACUCACGUCCCUGCAAAGGACAUGAACUUAUUCUUUUUUAUGGCUGCAUAGUAUUCCAUGGUGUAUAUGUGCCACAUUUUCUUUUUCCAGUCUAUCAUUGAUGGGCAUUUGGGUUGGUUCCAAGUCUUUGCUAUUGUAAACAGUGCUGCAAUAAACGUAAAUGUGCAUGUGUCUUUAUAGUAGAAUGAUUUAUAUUCCUUUGGAUAUAUACCCAGUAAUGGGAUUGCUGGGUCAAAUGGUAUUUCUGCUUGUAGAUCCUUGAGGAAUCACCACACUGUCUUCCACAAUGGUUGAACUAAUUUACACUCCCUCCAGCAGUGUAAAAACGUUUCUGUUUCUCCACAGCCUCACCAGCAUCUGUUGUUUC
rnacentral:lncRNA from 10 species